rnacentral:rRNA from 1 species
UACGAAGGGGGCUAGCGUUGCUCGGAAUCACUGGGCGUAAAGGGUGCGUAGGCGGGUCUUUAAGUCAGGGGUGAAAUCCUGGAGCUCAACUCCAGAACUGCCUUUGAUACUGAAGAUCUUGAGUUCGGGAGAGGUGAGUGGAACUGCGAGUGUAGAGGUGAAAUUCGUAGAUAUUCGCAAGAACACCAGUGGCGAAGGCGGCUCACUGGCCCGAUACUGACGCUGAGGCACGAAAGCGUGGGGAACAAACAGG